rnacentral:lncRNA from 1 species
AGGAAGACAAAGAAGGUGUUUUCCAUCAGGUACCGGUGCACCCAGGGCAGCCAGGAGACCCUGGGGCCUGCCGCCUCCAGGUGGCGCACCCACACCCUGCCGGCCUCGUACAUGGUGUCCAGGGUCCGGAAGGGGCCGCAGGUGCUCGAGGGCUUCACCCUGGGGAAGAUGCCGACCAGGAACCCUCACCCCGAGCAACAGUUCACCCGGCUCCCUCCCAGCCCGUCCUCUGCACCCCUAAGCCUUGGGCCCCCCAGGCACCACCACCCAACCCCCAGAUGACACAGAAGGGUCUCCCUCCACCCGCCCCACUCACUGCCAGACGGCGUAGCAGAGGAAGACAGCGGCGCCCAGGAAGGCGGGGAAGCAGAGCAGCGUGAGGAAGACGGUGCUCAUGUGUGAGGCCAGCCAGGGCCGGCGCGGCGCCUGGCAGUUGGCCAGAAGGCUGGUCUGUGGGGAAAGGCUGCGCUCUGCCACCAUCCUGCUACCCCUCAGCACCCCUCCAAGCCCUGGGGGAGCUCAAGAGGGAAGGGCGACCAGGGCUGUGCGUCCAGGCAGAGCCUGGACCCUGCUCCCUGCAGCCUCCUCAUUUACAGAGGAAGACAGAAGCCUGCCGGUCACUUGCACGCAAACGGGUGAUGCCAACAGCACCUCCAUCUGCUGAAGGUCGCUGCCAUGCCAGGCUCUGCACACAACACUGUACACACCACCUCCCUCAGUCCCCACUGGAACAUGGUCCCCACUGCAGGGAUGAGGAAACAAAAGGCCAGACGAGACAGGAGCCAGGAUGGCCAGGUUUGGAUACACCCGGAGCUAAACAACCAGUAUCAGCUCCAGCACCAAAUGAUGUUUUCAUGUGCGGCCACACACCUGCAGAUGGCCACGUACACCUCCAGUACCGGGGAGUCAUGCGGCUCCAGGGCGGCCAGGACACGGCACAGGUAGGGGGCCCCCAGGUUGAGGAGGCCAACCACCAGGGGCAGGACCAGCAGCACAGCCUCCUGGCCAGCAGCC